rnacentral:rRNA from 1 species
AUACGUAGGGUGCAAGCGUUAAUCGGAAUUACUGGGCGUAAAGCGUGCGCAGGCGGUUUUGUAAGACAGAGGUGAAAUCCCCGGGCUCAACCUGGGAACUGCCUUUGUGACUGCAAGGCUAGAGUACGGCAGAGGGGGAUGGAAUUCCGCGUGUAGCAGUGAAAUGCGUAGAUGUGCGGAGGAACACCGAUGGCGAAGGCAAUCCCCCGGGCCUGUACUGACGCUCAUGCACGAAAGCGUGGGGAGCAAACAGGAUUAGAUACCCUGGUAGUCCACGCCCUAAACGAUGUCAACUGGUUGUUGGGUCUUCAUUGACUCAGUAACGAAGCUAACGCGUGAAGUUGACCGCCUGGGAAGUACGGCCGCAAGGUUGAAACUCAAAUGAAUUGACGGGG